rnacentral:lncRNA from 1 species
GUGUGGUUGGAGGGAGAACGAAUGGAUUGUGGGAGCGAGAGAGGAAGAGGGGAGACCCACUGAGGGGCUGGUGGCUUCCAGGAGAGGGCGAGGAGCGGACGCUCCUAUUUGUUGGGGUCUCCUGGUCAGAGGAGAAUAAUCUGCAAGUUCACUUCCAAAUCCCACGGGUUUAGGCUGAGGGUCCAAAUCUAGCACUCGCCAGUUCAUCCAAAGCUGCUUUUUUGGUGAGAAAUCGUAGCUUUGCCAGUGCGUGAUGCAGGUGGGUAAGAAGCCCGAUUUCCUUGCUGCAUUUCACAGAGAAACAGGAGCCGUGUCCCUCAUCCACCUGCUGCUCUGGUGGCAGCAGGAGAGACGGACAGGUGAGCAGACGGCAGAGAGGGGAUUUCCCAGGUUUACUGAUGCUGGACGUGGGGGCUGAGGGCGAGGGUCCCAGACGACCCCUGAGAGCAGCAGGGGUGGGCACGAACCCACAGGGCAGCCCACGCCCCCGGCACUGAUGUCUGGGGCAACACACGAGAGGAACAAGGUGAAGGAAGCUAAACAGUAGACAGCUUGAACAGAAGUCACGAGGGCGCACGCAGCCCCAGCUCCCUGGGGACAAGACACUCAGCCGUCCCAGUGGAGCCCGGCGCUCAUUCCCAAGGCUACAGACAGACCCCCAAGGGAGAACCAGGUCCCCUUCACAACCCAGGGAGGACGCCAAGAGCCCCCCCACCCCGAGUGUCACCAGCAUCCGACGCCGACUGGAGAGCCAGCAUGGCUGUCGGCCCCUGCGGAGACCACGAGGUGGUCCAGCCAUCAUCCGUCACCGUCUCCUGCGAUACCUGGAGCGCAGGCAGCCGGUGGGGGCCGUGCAUGAGUUUCACGUUCAUUCUGCAGCACGAGGAGGCCUGACAACGGCGCCAGGAGGGCUUUCGAAAAAAGAUAAAUGCACGACGUGGAAAGGGGGUGAACCCGCACCCCUUGCCUUCAGCCAGGAGGCCCCUCAGUUGUUUAAGCAGCACUGGUCUGGGUCCCAUUCUACCGCCGGCGAUGUCGGAAGACCCCGGCUCACCGAAUGGACCAUUCUUUCCCCUUCUCCGGUUCUCUCUUACCACAGGAAGAAAGAAAACACACAGAGCCCCCAGGGGACCCAAUGUUCCAGAUUGAAGCUGCGCCGUCACCUACCUGGUCCUGAGGUGAGGACGAAGUGGAGCCAAGCUGCUUGCCUCCCUGAGGGACGUGGAGUGAGAGCCAGAAGUAAUCCUUUGCUUAAGUGACUGAGAUUUUCAGAGCUGUUCAUUACGGCAGCAAAACCUAGAACCCCACACCUGCCCGUGGCCUUCCACGGAACGAGCACGUAGAAGGAGCCAGCACAGCCCCAGUGGAACAGGUCUUGUGGGAUUAGCACAAAAAUUGC